rnacentral:rRNA from 1 species
UACGGGGGGGCAAGCGUUGUUCGGAAUUACUGGGCGUAAAGGGCGCGUAGGCGGUCUACUAAGUUGGAUGUGAAAACUCUGGGCUUAACCCAGAGCCUGCAUUCAAAACUGAUAGGCUGGAGUUCUGGAGGGGAUAGCGGAAUUCCUGGUGUAGCGGUGAAAUGCGCAGAUAUCAGGAGGAACACCGGUGGCGAAGGCGGGUCUCUGGGGCCGAUACUGACGCUGAGGUGCGAAAAGCGUGGGGGAGCAAACAGG